rnacentral:antisense_RNA from 1 species
UUUGUGUGAGCAACAAGGCUGUUUAUUCACUUGAGUGCAAGUGGGCUGAGUCUGAAAACAGAGUCAGUGAAGGGAGAUGGGGAAGGGGUUGCUUUAUAGGAGUUGGGUAGGUAAUGGAAAAUUACAGUAAAAAGUGGUUAUCUAUUGUUAGCAGAGGAGGGGGUCACAAGGUACAUGGUGGGGAGAUGAUAAGACCCAUUGUCCAGAAGAAGACUGUCACAAGGUCGAUUGAUCAGUUAAGGUAGGACAGGGACAGGUCACAAUGGUGGAAUGUUGUAAUGUUGGUUAAUCAGUUAAGGCAGGAACUGGCUGUUUUACUUCUUGUGUGGUUUUUCAGCUGCCCCAGACUUCUUGGCUCCUGCAGGCCAUCUGGACAUAUAUGUGCAGGUCACAGGGGUUACAAUGGCUGAGCUUCGGCUCAGAGGCCUGACACCUCUUACUUCUGAGGGAUUGCUCAAGGUAGAAGGUUAAUAAAUUCUUAAACUACCCCCCACUUUCACUACAGAGAUUAAGAGUACAGUUCUGUCCAAGGAUUUGAUCUGGCCCAACAAAGAGCCUUCUUCAGAAGUGGAUUAGUUUUGUCCUUUGGUGAGGCUUGUGAUGGGCCUUAUUUAUUCGUAUUGUAGGCCUCUUAUACUAUUCCAAAAACAAGACAAGGGAACUGAAACCACUUUGCAUAAUAAUGUCACCUAUUAUCUCCAGUGAGGCUAGUCUGGUCACCUCUGGAUCAAUAGUACUCUUUUUUUUUUUUUGAGAUGGAGUUUUGCUCUUCUUGCCCAGGCUGGAGUGCAAUGGCGCGAUCUUGGCUCACUGCAACCUCUGCCUCCCGGGUUUAAGUGAUUCUCCUGCCUCAGCCUCCCGAGUAUUUGGGAUUACAGGCGCCUGCCACCAUGCCCGGCUAAUUUUGCAUUUUUAGUAGAAACGGGGUUUCUCCAUGUUGGUCAGGUUGGUCUCUAACUCCUGACCUCAGGUGAUCCAUCCGCCUCAGCCUCCCAAAGUUCUGGGAUUACAGGCGUGAGCCACCACACCUGGCCAUAGUUGUCUUUCUUAUUGUGGAUUUAAUCUGCAUUGUCCCUAAGAACUCAGAAUUACUGUUGAUGCUUCAAAAGGGUGUGUGUGUGUGUGUGUGUGUUCAGUUAAUCCAGAAAUUCCUCCCAGGAAAAUAGAAGACCCCAGGAGGAGUGGGGCAACAACUCUUUAUCUGCUACGGGCAGACAGAUCUUCAUGAAAACACACAUGAACCUCCAGAACUCGAUGUGCUCCACCAGCCGGCCUUAGCUUGUCAAAGCCAACCUUGGAAUUUCCUGCUGAAGCCCCCAUGGAAUAGCUCAGCUAGCAGGAACUGUAGAAUAGAGGAUCCUUACUUCAGUGCAUCUUGAUGUUCUGAGUGAAGGAACAGCACAGACCCUCUGGGAGACCAUCCCUGUGUGUUAGUGAGGUCUUGCAUUGUAAAGAUCUUGAAGAAAGGAGACUGUGUCUGUGAGUCCUCAACAAAGCAGACACCUGAUUGGAGUUAGGAGUCCAAAGGGUUUAUCCGAAGUGGCACUUGCUGGUCUGAUCCAUGCACAAGGCGGGGCUGCUAGGCCUCUGUGCCCGGGCUUGGAAUUCGGUGCGGAUGGCCAGCUCCGGGAUGACCCGCCGGGACCCGCUCGCAAAUAAGGUGGCCCUGGUAACGGCCUCCACCGACGGGUGAGUGCUCCGGCCGGAGUUUCUGAGGCCCUGGCUGCCUGGAAACAGGCACUGGCCUCUCAUCCUCGGCCUCCGGUGCCCCUGUCCUCAGACCUUACACGCUGCCAAAGUCUGGCCCUCUGGCACAACUGUGCCACCUCUGUGCAGCCCUAUCGAUCUAGUCUCCCCAGUGUUCU